CGGCGGACGGGUGAGUAACACUGGGUAACCUACCUAUAAGACUGGGACAACUUCGGGAAACCGGAGCUAAUACCGGAUAAGAUAUCGAACCGCAUGGUUCGAUAGUGAAAGAUGGUUUUGCUAUCACUUAUAGAUGGACCCGCGCCGUAUUAGCUAGUUGGUGAGGUAACGGCUCACCAAGGCAACGAUACGUAGCCGACCUGAGAGGGUGAUCGGCCACACUGGAACUGAGACACGGUCCAGACUCCUACGGGAGGCAGCAGUC
rnacentral:rRNA from 1 species